rnacentral:lncRNA from 1 species
GUUUUACAAAUAUAGUGUAUUCAUUCUUUAUUUCAGCUCUUGAUGAGGGAGACAUUGCCUUACUGAAGACUUAUGGUGUUGGGCAGUACAGUAAGUCUAUCAAACAAGUGGAAGAGGACAUCCAGAACUGUCUCAAAAAAGUCAAUGAACUUGCUGGUAUAAAAGAAUCUGAUACAGGGUUGGGACCACCUGCAUUAUGGGAUUUAGCCGCAGACAAACAGACCCUUCAGAGUAAGUGGUAUUUCAGUGCAAUAGUACCGUAUGUCA